AGUGAACGCUGGCGGUAGGCCUAACACAUGCAAGUCGAACGGCAGCACAGUAAGAUCUUGCUCUUACGGGUGGCGAGUGGCGGACGGGUGAGGAAUACAUCCGAAUCUACUUUUUCGUGGGGGAUAACGUAGGGAAACUUACGCUAAUACCGCAUACGACCUACGUGUGAAAGCAGGGGAUCUUCGGACCUUGCUCGAAUGACUGAGCCGAUGUCGGAUUAGCUAGUUGGCGGGGUAAAGGCCCACCAAGGCGACGAUCCGUAGCUGGUCUGAGAGGAUGAUCGGCCAACCUGGAACUGAGCAACGGUCCAGACUCCUACGGGAGGCAGCAGUGGGGAAUAUUGGACAAUGGGCGCAAGCCUGAUCCACCCAUACCGCGUGGGUGAAGAAGGCCUUCGGGUUGUAAAGCCCUUUUGUUGGGAAAGACAAGCAGCAGGUUAAUACCCCGCUGUUCUGACGGUACCCAACGAAUAAGCACCGGCUAACUUCGUG
rnacentral:rRNA from 1 species